UUUCGCUUUUCACCUGAGUGUGCUUUACUGGAAGUUGCAAAAGGUUUGUGAUUCAUCAAUACCAUCUCUAUGGUGCAAUAUUUGCUUGGUUCUAAAUGUCCAAGUAGACAAAUUCAAGCCUGUUAUAUUAUUUCAGAGUUUUAAUGUGUUACACUUGUGGAUCGUUUUUGGACUAUGACUAUUCAAGGAUUCUGGGAAGUGUGAAUCCAUGCGAUCCAGAUAUUUGUUUUCCUGUGGAUGUAAAAAUCAAUAAAAUUAGGAGCUUCCUGGUAUCCUAUUUACUUUUUAGGAAUAGUACCCAUGAAAUACAGUUUUCAUUUUUGACUACUGUCCUCUUAUACAAAGACUACUGAGAAAGAUGACUUUCUGUCCUGCUACACCAGGGAUACAUGAAAGCUACACAGACUAACUUCACUGAAUCUACCCAAACCCUAAUCUACUUUGGCACAAGGUUUUUAAGAAACCCAACCCUGGUUAGACUUUUCAGGAUCAAAUAAAUGUAUAAGGGAAGUGCCAUGGCUUAUGUCAUUAUGUUAGUCCCCAGCAUAGGCGCCAUUCUUGGGAAAGGAUGUAGGAGUGUUCUAGGCUAUGCAAAACAGAGCUAUGGAAGCAGAUAUGAUUAAGAGUAAAACACAAGUAGUCAUUGAAAAGUUGUGUAAGGGACUGUGUCAUAGAAUGAAAACAUGAGGUUGGGCAGUGGUUGCCUAAUGACCUGGAAGAAAGGGAAUCAAAACAGUCGUACUACUAAAUGGCAAAAUGAGAACUGAAACUACAUUGUCAUAGAAAAGAAUUUAUUUUUCAUUUCAAUAAGAAGAAUAUCAGCCCUAUGCUUUUGUAUCUCCAGCAAAUCAAAUAACUGGUAGAAGGUAUUAAGGGCUGCUGGAAGGACUAGAAAUAGUAAGAAUCCAUAUGCCCUUUUCCCUAGUGCUCUGGAGAGAUCCACAAAAUUUUCCGGAGGUGCUCUGCACUGUGUUUUCAGUCUACGGCCCUAUACAUGGGGAUGCAUACUGGCUGCUACACAAACUGUUGCCUCCAGUUGACUAAUGGAACAGGCACAAUGAAGGUAAAAUAGUAACCCCCAUAUUAGGGAGUUCCAAGUCCUCAGGAAUCCAACUGUACACUUCCUCCAACAACUCAGGCUAUUCUAUUCUUUGUACCUUGGAAACCUAACAUGAGAGACUAAUGACAAGAUUCCUCGAAACCUUUCUGCAGAAGGUAAACUGAGAGAAGCUAAAUGCUGUACUCAGAAGCUGAGUCCUUCAUUGUUUUUCAACACAGUUCACUGAGGCAUUUUAUAAGUUUAUAUAUAUAAAUCCAUGUGAAGAUCAGAAUAGACUUAUGGCACUUUUGUUGCCAGGAAUUUAAAUACAAGUAGGAGAAAAAGUAGGUUGAUGAUAAGAACAGAUAAUUUCUCAGAUAUUGGUGGCUACAAUCCAGUUUUGAGAAAAUAUGUAGAAAGAUUAGCCGUAAAGAAACUUAAGACUGCAGCUUAGCUGCCUAGUUAUAAUUAUUUACAAGGGAACACAAUAUUAUCUGGAGACCCCAACAAAUAAGAAGGCACACCCUGAUGGAAAGUCAAUAAUUCACUAUUGAAAAGUCAAGACAUUGGCAAAAAUAAUGCUGGAACAGACUGAGGAAAUGCAAGGGAUACAACCUAACUCUGAAGCUUUACCACCUCCUCAAGAGGUUCUUUCCCACUCCAGGAAAUCAGACAGAAAGUAAUUGGCAAAUGGUGCAAACUUAUGGACAAAAUUGACAUAAUGAGAGAACCUUAGAAAUGGGAAUGGAAUGAACUUACAUUUCUGUUUCUUUUCCCCAUUUUAAACUUUUCCAGUCCUUUCUUGUGGAUACUGAAGCCAUGAAUUCUGCAAUUUCUACUACCUUUCUUGUUUUACUCUAACUCAGAAAAAUAUCCAAGAUAUGGGUGUUUCUGGAUGACCUAUCUGUUCUUUCUCCUCUGAAGUUCCCAUGCAAACAGGCAAGUGGCCAAGCCGAAUGUCCCAUUGACCGCCCCAUGCUUGCAUGGGCCAGAAUCGAGCCCAAAGGAACGUCUCUGUUCCCCAGCACACGUCCAGAGAGUUUUGGUGGCCAAGAAGCCAUGGCAACAGGCCUUCUGAUGGGAGCAGACAACGUCCCCAGGAGAAGGAAGAUAUGAGUUUGGACUGCUGCCUAUGGUGAAAUCAAUGUCAGCCUUGGUCCAACACCUGGAAGAGAUAGAAAGUCACGUCUUUUUGAGCAUCCUCAUUUCCAGAAAGCAUCUGAGCCAGAUAACAUCCCCAGGGGAAGAAAGAUCUGAGUUAGGCCUGCUGCGUAUGGAGCAAGGGUUGUCUGCAUUGGUCCAGCACCUGGAAGAGACAGAAACUCACAUCAUUUGGGACAUCCUCAUUUUCAGAAAGCUUCGGAGUUAGAUGUUCUGGCAAGGGCCUCACCACGGCCUGAAUGAUUCGAGUCUCAAAAGGACCAUUGGUAGGGAAGAACUGAGCCCCAGGACAGGAGAAAUUGAGAGGCAGGCAAGUGACUAAGUCCAAUGUCCUAUCGGCCACCCCAUGCUUGCACAGACCACCAUCGAGCCUGGAGGAACAUGUCCAUUCUGCAAGACAUGUCUGUAGAGUUUUGCUGGCCAAGAAGCCCUCACCCCAGGACUUCUGAUGAAAGGAGAGGCAAUGAUGCUCUGCCUUCACCUGGGAGUCUUCAGGGAUUCAUCUGUUCUUCCUUCCCGGAAACAUUAGUUUAGUACCUAUUCAUGCACAGAUCCAACUGUCCACUGGUUCCUUUAUGUUUCUAAGUCUGGAUGGAAGGAAGGAGAGAGAAAAGUAAGAAUUGGAAGCCAGAUAACAUCCCCAGGGGAAGAAAGAUCUGAGUUUGAGCUGCUGCCUAUGGAGCAACUGAUGUCAGACUUGUUCCAGCACCUGGAAGAGACAGAAAGUCACGUCCUUUUGGGCAUCCACAUCUCCAGAGAGCAUCUGAGGUAAGCCUACUCAGGUGCCAUAGCACCGAUACGUAGGGAAUGCCUCAGCUGGGUCAAUGAUGAGAACUCAUAUGGUCAUGAAGAGAGAUGAGGACCAAAAAUCAUGCUCAAUAGGAUUACGCUGAGGCCCAAAGGAGGUGGCCAUCCAGGGGCCAGAGUUUAGGGGAAUAUCUUGUCUCUUCCAGAGCCCAGGGGUGUGGGUGUGGAGACCCCCUAUCCCUCGAGGAAUGCCCUUGAGACUCUACUGUGUCUAGGAGCUUCCAAGUGGCAAAGACAUUGUCCUGUCUUCACCUUGCUUUCUUAAUCCCUGUAUCCAAUGCCCGCCUGGAGGCCAUAGGCGGGACCUUUCCUUAGCUCUUUCCCUGCAAAUUGUGA